GAUUAUUAUGGGCCAGCCACGUGGGCAGAGGAUGGUACCUUUGGUUAUAGAACCCCUAUUUAUAUGCUCAACCGCAUUAUAAGGUUACAGGCGGUGGUUGAGAUCAUUACUAACGAGAUAUCACAAGCGCUCAAUCUUCUAGCAAAGCAUAAUACCAGGAUGAGGACAGCAGUUUACCAAAAUAGAUUAGCCUUGGAUUAUCUUUUGGCAGUAGAGGGAGGUGUAUGUGGGAAGUUUAACCUGAGCAAUUGCUGUCUUCAAAUAGAUGACGAAGGGCAAGCAAUAGCUGAGCUUACUAGCCAUAUGGUUAAACUAGCGCAUGUGCCUACUCAGGUAUGGAAAGGGUACAAUCCAAGUAGUUGGUUUGGUAGCUGGUAUGAGUGGUUUGAAG
rnacentral:lncRNA from 1 species